rnacentral:misc_RNA from 1 species
GAUGAAGAACGCAGCGAAAUGCGAUAAGUAAUGUGAAUUGCAGAAUUCAGUGAAUCAUCGAAUCUUUGAACGCACAUUGCGCCCGCCAGUAUUCUGGCGGGCAUGCCUGUUCGAGCGUCAUUUCAACCAUCAAGCCCCCGGGCUUGUGUUGGGGACCUGCGGCUGCCGCAGGCCCUGAAAAGCAGUGGCGGGCUCGCUGUCACACCGAGCGUAGUAGAUUUUAUCUCGCUCUGGGCGUGCUGCGGGUUCCGGCCGUUAAACCACCCUUUUCACCCAAGGUUGACCUCGGAUCAGGUAGGAAGACCCGCUGAACUUAAGCAUAUCAAUAAGCGGAGGA